rnacentral:rRNA from 1 species
AAUGGAGGAAACUCUGAUGCAGCGACGCCGCGUGAAGGAUGAAGUAUUUCGGUAUGUAAACUUCUAUCAGCAGGGAAGAAAAUGACGGUACCUGACUAAGAAGCCCCGGCUAACUACGUGCCAGCAGCCGCGGUAAUACGUAGGGGGCAAGCGUUAUCCGGAUUUACUGGGUGUAAAGGGAGCGUAGACGGCACGGCAAGCCAGAUGUGAAAGCCCGGGGCUCAACCCCGGGACUGCAUUUGGAACUGCUGAGCUAGAGUGUCGGAGAGGCAAGUGGAAUUCCUAGUGUAGCGGUGAAAUGCGUAGAUAUUAGGAGGAACACCAGUGGCGAAGGCGGCUUGCUGGACGAUGACUGACGUUGAGGCUCGAAAGCGUGGGGAGCAAA